UCUUGUUUUCCUGCCCAUUUUCCUCAAGAGAAGAUGCAACAGAGGUUUUCCUGAAGUGCUUAGACACUGACAUUUUGGAACCAGUGUUGAACGGUGCAUCAGUUGCCAUCCUCACCAUCCUACAAGAUGACGAUGCUGAUACGUCUGUGCGAGAACAUGCAGUUGUGUUGGAAGGGGACAUUGUGCUACAUAACAUUCCAGAUCUCUCUACUGCCCUGGCACACCUCUUUGGCCUUCUGUAUGCCCUCAACAUUGAUUAUCCAAAGCAGAUGAGUUUUACCUUUGAAGCAAUUCAGGCCAUCUUAUUUUGGCCUGGUCGGACAAUAUGAAGGUGAAGUGGAUAAAUCAUUAUUCGAAAUGUAAAUUUUAGUCAGAUGAAUCUGUAUUGUUGAGAAUAUAUGGUGAAAAUUUGUCUUGUAGUAUUUUAAAAGAUUUGUUAUAGUGUUAGUUUCCUCUUCAUUGAUGGUAACAUUUCUAAGAACUUUUAACUUCCAUAGUUCAUCAUA